rnacentral:tRNA from 1 species
UAAGGGCUAGGACACCUCCCUUUCACGGAGGCGAUACGGGUUCGAAUCCCGUACGCGGUACCA